ACUCCUACGGGAGGCAGCAGUGAGGAAUAUUGGUCAAUGGUCGCAAGACUGAACCAGCCAUGCCGCGUGCAGGAAGACGGUCCUAUGGAUUGUAAACUGCUUUUAUACAGGAAGAAACCCCUCCCACGUGUGGGAGCUUGACGGUACUGUAGGAAUAAGGAUCGGCUAACUCCGUGCCAGCAGCCGCGGUAAUACGGAGGAUCCAAGCGUUAUCCGGAAUCAUUGGGUUUAAAGGGUCCGUAGGCGGCCUUAUAAGUCAGUGGUGAAAGCCCAUCGCUCAACGAUGGAACUGCCAUUGAUACUGUAAGGCUUGAAUUAUUGUGAAGUAACUAGAAUAUGUAGUGUAGCGGUGAAAUGCUUAGAUAUUACAUGGAAUACCAAUUGCGAAGGCAGGUUACUAACAAUGGAUUGACGCUGAUGGACGAAAGCGUGGGGAGCGAACAGGAUUAGAUACCCUGGUAGGAUAGCG
rnacentral:rRNA from 1 species